CGUGCGCUGCCCUGUGCGUGAACCAAACUAAUAUCCCGGGGGCUAUAAUUUUCUCUAGGGAGCUGUCCCUGGCAGGAUCGUGGUCUUGUUAUACGGCGCCCACCUGGUUUACCAGGCUCCAGAGGAUAUCCAUUGGUCACGGCAGUGGCGGCCACGCC
rnacentral:other from 1 species